UACGGAGGGGGCGAGCGUUAUCCGGAAUCACUGGGUUUAAAGGGUGCGUAGGCGGCUCGGUAAGUCAGUUGUGAAAGCCCCUUGCUUAACGAGGGAGGUGCGAUUGAUACUGUCGAGCUUGAAUCGGGAUGAGGCAGGCGGAAUGUGCCAUGUAGCGGUGAAAUGCAUAGAUAUGCCUUAGAACACCGAUUGCGAAGGCAGCCUGCUGGGCCUGUAUUGACGCUGAGGCACGAAAGCGUGGGGAGCAAACAGG
rnacentral:rRNA from 1 species